GAUCAUGGCUCAGGAUGAACGCUAGCUACAGGCUUAACACAUGCAAGUCGAACGCCUCACUUCGGUGAAGAGUGGCGAACGGGUGAGUAAUACAUAAGUAACCUGGCAUCUACAGGGGGAUAACUGAUGGAAACGUCAGCUAAGACCGCAUAGGUGUAGAGAUCGCAUGAACUCUAUAUGAAAAGUGCUACGGGACUGGUAGAUGAUGGACUUAUGGCGCAUUAG
rnacentral:rRNA from 1 species